GCGAGCGUUAAUCGGAAUUACUGGGCGUAAAGKGUGCGCAGGCGGUUUCRCAAGUCAAGUGUGAAAGCCCCGGGCUUAACCUGGGAACUGCGCUUGAAACUACSGAACUCGAGUGUGGCAGAGGAAGGUGGAAUUCCACGUGUAGCGGUGAAAUGCGUAGAGAUGUGGAGGAACACCGAUGGCGAAGGCAGCCUUCUGGGCCAACACUGACGCUCAUGCACGAAAGCGUGGGGAGCAAACAGGAUUAGAUACCCUGGUAGUCCACGCCCUAAACGAUGAUGACUAGUUGUUGGAGGAGUUAAAUCCUUUAGUAACGCAGCUAACGCGUGAAGUCAUCCGCCUGGGGAGUACGGUCGCAAGAUUA
rnacentral:rRNA from 1 species